CUACCAUUGUAGUAUAAAAUGGGUCAUGUCCGAUCCUAUGUUACGGAUGGAAUGCUUUAAAAAUUUCUCUACGACUUUUGGGAUUCUCAUUAUACAAUAAAUAAAAUUAAUUUAUAGUAUUAUUUUGAAUAAUGGAAUGAAACCUGUGCGCACAUCCGUGAUAUGGUGGUUCAUACAGAAAUAAUUUCGUUCUUUUUUAUUUGAUGUCGUGUUAAACCAUUUACGAUACUCUAUAAUCUAUGGAAUGAUCAACUUCUCUCUUCUUUUUCAAACGAAGCAAUACUAAUUAUUAACUCUUUCAUGACACUCUUUCUAUCGUAUUUCAAACGAAAGUUCCACCAAGCCCUCAAGUUUUCCCAUCUGUAAUUGUUGCUAUUAUUAUUAAUCACCCGUUCUCAAACUGAAACCUUUUACUAUUCAACCCAUGAUUUAGCAGUCAUUUGUUUUAGCCGAAAAUUACUCAUUACGCUAUCGUUUUCUAGACUCUAGGAGAUGUAAAUAACUUAUGUUUUAGGAAAUAGUGUCCCGCUAUUAGCCCCCACGGAAGCUGUCGUUUUUGUGAACUUCUUGGAAGAGAUGCCUCAUGCAGCGCCUCCUUGAGACUUUUGCAAUUGUAAAUCUCUUGUGCAUUACCUUCUAUAACGAUAUAAAGUACACACUGUACUGCAGCAUUACUCACAAGCAUUUGUGUUCUUCGAAGAUUUCUUUCCGAACCUAGUCGGAGCUGCGUUCCACCUUGUUCCGUGCCUGCGUUAAGUGUUUCACGGAAAGUAAAGGCACGCUAUACGCCUGACGGCUGAUUUCAAUAGACAAGAGAUAUGUCUGCGGAUAUAGUACCGUUGAGCGCAGUGAACGAAAGUCGUUUGGUAGUCGAUAUGCAGCAAUUGCUAUAGUUGAAUACAUAAAUAGUAAUUCUAAGUUUGUAAAAAAUAGAAAUAAAAUUGUAAGAUUAACGACAUUGUAUAUUUGUUUAAUGGUUUGUUCGACCGAUCGUCAUGACAUAAAGUGGAAGCGCUCAGCUCAUCAAACUUACCGGGAACCACUUCGACUC